UACGUAGGGGGCUAGCGUUGUCCGGAAUCAUUGGGCGUAAAGCGCGCGUAGGCGGCCCGGUAAGUCCGCUGUGAAAGUCCAGGGCUCAACCCUGGAACGCCGGUGGAUACUGUCGGGCUAGAGUCCGGAAGAGGCGAGUGGAAUUCCUGGUGUAGCGGUGGAAUGCGCAGAUAUCAGGAGGAACACCGAUGGCGAAGGCAGCUCGCUGGGACGGUACUGACGCUGAGGCGCGAAAGCGUGGGGAGCGAACAGG
rnacentral:rRNA from 1 species